rnacentral:rRNA from 1 species
UACAGAGGGGGCAAGCGUUGUUCGGAAUUACUGGGCGUAAAGGGCGCGUAGGCGGCCAACUAAGUCGGACGUGAAAUCCCAAGGCUCAACCUUGGAACUGCGUCCGAUACUGGAUGGCUUGAAUCCGGGAGAGGGAUGUGGAAUUCCAGGUGUAGCGGUGAAAUGCGUAGAUAUCUGGAGGAACACCGGUGGCGAAGGCGGCAUCCUGGACCGGUAUUGACGCUGAUGCGCGAAAGCCAGGGGAGCAAACGGA